rnacentral:rRNA from 1 species
UUGAACGCUGGCGGCAGGCCUAACACAUGCAAGUCGAGCGGUAGCACAGAGAGCUUGCUCUCGGGUGACGAGCGGCGGACGGGUGAGUAAUGUCUGGGAAACUGCCUGAUGGAGGGGGAUAACUACUGGAAACGGUAGCUAAUACCGCAUAACGUCGCAAGACCAAAGUGGGGGACCUUCGGGCCUCAUGCCAUCAGAUGUGCCCAGAUGGGAUUAGCUAGUAGGUGGGGUAACGGCUCACCUAGGCGACGAUCCCUAGCUGGUCUGAGAGGAUGACCAGCCACACUGGAACUGAGACACGGUCCAGACUCCUACGGGAGGCAGCAGUGGGGAAUAUUGCACAAUGGGCGCAAGCCUGAUGCAGCCAUGCCGCGUGUGUGAAGAAGGCCUUCGGGUUGUAAAGCACUUUCAGCGGGGAGGAAGGCGAUAAGGUUAAUAACCUUGUCGAUUGACGUUACCCGCAGAAGAAGCACCGGCUAACUCCGUGCCAGCAGCCGCGGUAAUACGGAGGGUGCAAGCGUUAAUCGGAAUUACUGGGCGUAAAGCGCACGCAGGCGGUCUGUCAAGUCGGAUGUGAAAUCCCCGGGCUCAACCUGGGAACUGCAUUCGAAACUGGCAGGCUAGAGUCUUGUAGAGGGGGGUAGAAUUCCAGGUGUAGCGGUGAAAUGCGUAGAGAUCUGGAGGAAUACCGGUGGCGAAGGCGGCCCCCU